CCAGCAUUUUGGAUUUAAACACCCGAGGAGAUACAAUUUAACCAGGCAGUCCAGAUAAGGCUGGCACACUUUGGCCCCAACCCCUCAGCAGACAUUGUGGAAUGUGUGCAGGCAGCAGUGAUGGCACACCAAGCGCUCCAGGAAAGAGGAGCUGCAGCAGCAGAGGUACCCAAUAAUAAUAUUGGAAGAAAAAAGGUACCCUUUGCUGCAUUUAAAAUUUUUAUUGAGACAGAGGGAGAGAUUGACGGGUUCCUGGCUGACUUUGAAAGGCAGUGUGCCCUACACCAGGUACCCGCAGACGAAUGGGUCACCAUCCUUUC